rnacentral:rRNA from 1 species
GGAAUAUUGCACAAUGGGCGCAAGCCUGAUGCAGCCAUGCCGCGUGUGUGAAGAAGGCCUUAGGGUUGUAAAGCACUUUCAGCGAGGAGGAAGGCAUCACACUUAAUACGUGUGGUGAUUGACGUUACUCGCAGAAGAAGCACCGGCUAACUCCGUGCCAGCAGCCGCGGUAAUACGGAGGGUGCAAGCGUUAAUCGGAAUUACUGGGCGUAAAGCGCACGCAGGCGGUUUGUUAAGUCAGAUGUGAAAUCCCCGAGCUUAACUUGGGAACUGCAUUUGAAACUGGCAAGCUAGAGUCUUGUAGAGGGGGGUAGAAUUCCAGGUGUAGCGGUGAAAUGCGUAGAGAUCUGGAGGAAUACCGGUGGCGAAGGCGGCCCCCUGGACAAAGACUGACGCUCAGGUGCGAAAGCGUGGGGAGCAAACAGGAUUAGAUACCCGAG